UACGAAGGGGGGCUAGCGUUGCUCGGAAUCACUGGGCGUAAAGGGUGCGUAGGCGGGUUUCUAAGUCAGAGGUGAAAUCCUGGAGCUCAACUCCAGAACUGCCUUUGAUACUGGAAGUCUUUGAGUAUGGGAGAGGUGAGUGGAACUGCGAGUGUAGAGGUGAAAUUCGUAGAUAUUCGCAAGAACACCAGUGGCGAAGGCGACUUAC
rnacentral:rRNA from 1 species